CAGAAAACUUGGGAAAUACAGAAAAUCACCAAGAAAAUAACUGCCCACAGUGCCUGGACUUUGCAAUUCCUCUGUUAGCAUUUUGAGAAAAAUAAACUGAUACAUUUUCUGGAUUCAGCGUGGAAGAACAUCUUGUCCCUUGGAAUAGGAAGGAGAGGGGGUGUGGGGGCUGGGUGUCCUCUGACCAAAGGGUUUUGGAAGUGGGGGGAAGCUGGAUGGGGGAGAGGCUUAUGUUGCACUGUGUGAAUGGAUAUUUUGGGGGUGCUGUGAAGAGGUGUUAAUUUCACUUCUAGACCCAAACAAGCAGCAUAAACCUGAGGGUGGGGGAGGCGGCAGCUCAGGGGACCAAGAGCACUGAUGCCCACCGGCAGCUGCAGAAGUCUUUGGCAGGCUUCUGGACCUCCACAGACUGGGGAAGAAUGACAGGGUGAGUCAACUGUAUCUAGGAAUUGGGGAAGGGGAAACAUCCAGCCGCUUGCCUUUCCCUCCGAGGGAUUUAAUUCUGGAUCUUAUGUUUUAAGUUCACCAAUAGUGAAAUCAAGAAACGCUAGGCACCCCACCCUCCGUGGCAGUAAAGGAAGAACCCCAGGCCCCCCUCCUCUUUCUCUCAGAGGUCUCCUGGGUGGCUCCAGGCAUGCCGUGUGCCCUCCAAAACUUGUGAGUAAUACGCCUUGAUUUUUCAGUUUCCUGAUGGUUACUGCUGAACUUGUCUUGGAAUCAUAACAAGAACUGGAAGGGCUGGUCCAGCCACCACACUGGCUCUGGGGGGCUCCCUACAAGUGGUACCGGCCCCACUCUGGCCUUUCCUGCUCCAAAAGACCACCGGGAGUGCCCACAUUGGAUUGGGGGACCACUCUUAUGCUGCACUGGACCAAAUAUUUCAGUUGUGUGUUUCCAUUUCUUCCACUACACUGGGAGCUCGCUGAACUCAGGACACCCCCUGCUUCAGCUUCUCCGCAUAGCAUCAAGCAUACUGUAUGGGUUCAGUACAUGUUUCAAAUAAACGUGAGUUUUUGAGUCAAUGGGCAGGCCCACACAAAGAAAUUAAAUGUUGGGACUCUCCCACCCCACCCCAUCAAGCUCAUUCCGGGAAGCAGAUUAAACUGACAGUUAAAUCUACUCCCCACACAGCUUAGAUGAGCCCCGAGGGAGGUGAGUGGUCAGGAUUCCCACAUACAUAGGCCCUUUUCAUGGGUGACAUCCAAAGCGUUUCCUAACAGUCUUAAAAAAUUUUUUUUAAUGGUUUUAUUUAUUUUUGAGAGAGACAGGGACAGAGCAUGAGUUGGGGAGGGGCAGAGAGAGAGAGGGAGCCACAGAAUCCGGAGCAGGCUCCAGGCUCUGAGCUGUCAGCACAGAGCCUGACGCGGGGCUCAAACCCACGAACGGUGAGAUCAUGACCUGAGCUAAAGUUGGACGCUUAACCAACUGACCCACCCGGUGCCCCUCCCAAGAGUAUUUUGUAUUGCUGGUUGUUCUGUCUUCUGGAGCUGAAAGUGAGUCUGGGGAGGGGUGGAGGAGGCAGGGAGAAGAGGGGACAAUUAGGGGUCUUUCACUGGCAUGACUUGAUAUACUAUUACU